CUGAUGUUAGCGGCGGACGGGUGAGUAACACGUGGGUAACCUGCCUGUAAGACUGGGAUAACUCCGGGAAACCGGGGCUAAUACCGGAUGGUUGUUUGAACCGCAUGGUUCAGACAUAAAAGGUGGCUUCGGCUACCACUUACAGAUGGACCCGCGGCGCAUUAGCUAGUUGGUGAGGUAACGGCUCACCAAGGCGACGAUGCGUAGCCGACCUGAGAGGGUGAUCGGCCACACUGGGACUGAGACACGGCCCAGACUCCUACGGGAGGCAGCAGUAGGGAAUCUUCCGCAAUGGACGAAAGUCUGACGGAGCAACGCCGCGUGAGUGAUGAAGGUUUUCGGAUCGUAAAGCUCUGUUGUUAGGGAAGAACAAGUGCCGUUCAAAUAGGGCGGCACCUUGACGGUACCUAACCAGAAAGCCACGGCUAACUACGUGCCAGCAGCCGCGGUAAUACGUAGGUGGCAAGCGUUGUCCGGAAUUAUUGGGCGUAAAGGGCUCGCAGGCGGUUUCUUAAGUCUGAUGUGAAAGCCCCCGGCUCAACCGGGGAGGGUCAUUGGAAACUGGGGAACUUGAGUGCAGAAGAGGAGAGUGGAAUUCCACGUGUAGCGGUGAAAUGCGUAGAGAUGUGGAGGAACACCAGUGGCGAAGGCGACUCUCUGGUCUGUAACUGACGCU
rnacentral:rRNA from 1 species